rnacentral:rRNA from 1 species
UACGAAGGGGCUAGCGUUGCUCGGAAUUACUAGGGCGUAAAGCGCACGUAGGCGGAUUGUUAAGUCGGGGGUGAAAUCCUGGAGCUCAACUCCAGAACUGCCUUCGAAACUGGCGAUCUUGAGUCCGGGAGAGGUGAGUGGAACUGCGAGUGUAGAGGUGAAAUUCGUAGAUAUUCGCAAGAACACCAGUGGCGAAGGCGGACUCACUGGCCCGGUACUGACGCUGAGGUGCGGAAAGCGAUGGG